CUCAACAGUAAAUGUAGAAAUUAGAAAUGGCCCAUCAAGUUAAAGUGUAAAACAGAGACAGGGCCCCUACGCAUGCCUUCUCAUCAACACAGGAUGUGUGUAACCAUGAUGCUAACAUUCCAGACAGAGGUUUGGCAAUGUGGCUGCACCAGUUUACAAAUUCAUCAACAGUGAAAGGUUCCUUCUCCCCUACAUGUGCCUCUACAUUUGUUAUCUUGUCUUUUUGAUGAUGGCUAUUCUAACAGGUCACUUGAGAGAGUCACAGAAAGCCGACAGCACUUUUAGAGCACACCAGGUGACCUAAGUGUACUUCAAUUUGGAGAAGCAGUGGUCCCAACAUACAAACUCCAGUGGGACUCAUUCUUAAAUCUUUGCAAGACCUUCAGCCCUUUGCUAAAAGAGAUGGAAAUUCCAGCCCAGCAGUGGAGAUUUCCUUCAAUAAAGAAAUAACUGAUCAUGAUAUCAAACUGAUUGUGUGAGAAGUUUGAGGUGUAGGCAUGACUGUCAAGAUGCAUCUUUAAAUUCUGAAAGAUCUAACUAUUGUCCUGUGUGGAGAACAUCAAGACAUAUUAUGGAUGAUGACUUCACCUCUGGAAAACAGUAUUGAGAGCUGGAUGUGGGCCACUGUUGGGAGUAAGCUCUAGGAGUCUAUAAGGAUUCUUGGAUAAGGAAGAAUGGCCCACUGAUGGAAUCUGAGGAUACAUUUCUUCUUUUAUGUGUGAAAGGAUAAUUGUUACAGUCUCCUGUCCAGUUUCCUAGUGUUUGUCAGUAAAGAAAUCUCUGGGCCAGUU